rnacentral:rRNA from 1 species
AAUGAACGCUAGCGGGAUGCUUUACAUAUGCAAGUCGAACGAGUGGCGGACGUGUGAGUAAUAUAUCUGAACGUGCCCAGUAGCGGGGGAUACCUACUCGAACCAGUGCUUAAUACCGCAUACUAUUCGCGCUGCCGAUAUCGGAUUAGCCAGUUGGUGGGGUAAAGGCUCACCAAGGCAACGAUCCGUAGCUGGUUUGAGAGGACGACCAGCCACACUGGGACGGAGACACGGCCCAGACUCCUACGGGAGGCAGCAGUGGGGAAUUUUGGGCAAUGGGGGAAACCCUGAUCCAGCCAUCCCGCGUGUAUGAGAAGGCCUUCGGAUUGUAAAGUACUUUUGGCAGAGAAGCGGUAUCUACAGAAUAAGCACCGGCUAACUACGUGCCAGCAGCCGCGGUAAUUC